rnacentral:rRNA from 1 species
UGCAGAGGAGCCAAGCGUUGUCCGGAUUGACUGGGCGUAAAGCGCACGCAGGCGGACGCGCGCGUGGGGUGUGAAAUCUGGCCGCUUAACGGCCAGGCGCCAUCCCAUACGGCGCGUCUGGAGUGAUGCAGAGGUCGGUGGAAUUGCCGGUGUAGUGGUGAAAUGCGUAGAGAUCGGCAGGAACACCCAGGGGGAAACCAGCCGACUGGGCAUCUACUGACGCUGAGGUGCGAGAGCGUGGGGAGCGAACCGG